UUUAUAGGGCAGAGAGAAGGGUCUGGGGGAGGUCCUGCUGCUCAUGGCUCACUGCACAGCACGGCCACCGGCCCCUCCACCCUGCUGGCAAAACUCUGCUCUCCCCAGACCUGCUAUCAGCCCCCGAUUCAAAGGGAAACCGCGGAGUGUGACAGGAGCGGCCGGGGAGCAGAUGGAACAGAUGUCCUGGGGCAGAGGGACCUCGCAGGGAAAAAGAUCAGUAUCACGGCCUUCCCAACCUUUGGCAGGGAUGCUGCAGGGCUGGGAUGUGGCCAGGAUGCACUGACAGCUCUGCCUCUGUUGUCUAGAGCUGUCCCCACACGGGCUGGACACGCUGAGAGGACCCGGUGUCUGUGUGUCACCCUCUUGGGAACCAUGACUGCAAACCCCUCUGAAGACAGGCCUGACUUCCAGUGGGACUGGGACCUGGUCAUCCAGCUUGGAGUGGAAGAGAUUUACUCUUGUGGAUGUCAGCAGGGCGUGACCACUGACAUCAGAGAACGGGACAUGGAACUGUUCAGCUGCCACUGAAGCUGCAACCAUGGAAAUAGUGUGUUAUCAAAAAUGCAUGGAACCACAGUGUCCAAGGAAUGCCACAAAGGUGCUCCAAGGGCUGGAGCCCCUCUGCUCUGGAGCCAGGCUGGGAGAGCUGGGGGUGUUCACCUGGAGAAGUGAAGGAUCCAGGGAGAGCUCAGAGCCCCUUCCAGAGCCUAAAGGGGCUCCAGGAGAGCUGGAGAGGGACUUGGGACAAGGGAUGGAGGGACAGGACACAGGGAAUGGCUUCCCACUGCCAGAGGGCAGGGAUAGAUGGGAUAUUGGGAAGGAAUUCUUGGCAGUGAGGGUGGUGAGGCCCUGGCACAGGGUGCCCAGAGAAGCUGUGGCUGCCCCUGGAUCCCUGGAAUUGUCCAAGGCCAGGUUGGAUGGGGCAUGGAUCAACCUGGAAUAGUGGAAGGUGUCCCAUGGCAGGGGGUAGGAACAGGAUGAGGUCUAAGGUCCUUCCAACCCAAACCAUUCUGUGAUUCAGUGAUCACAAUCUCAGUUCUUCCAGAUUUUCAUUAUAGAUCAUUUUCUUGGUCCUGUAACCAUCUCUGCCCUGAGCUCUCUCCAGCUAUUCCACCUCCCCUUGAAGCCUGGUCAUCUUGGCAGCAAACAGCACCACCUGGAAUUCUAAUUCAGAAUAAUAAAUGAAUUAACUGACGUGCCUGA